rnacentral:rRNA from 1 species
GAGUUUGAUCCUGGCUCAGGAUGAACGCUGGCGGCGUGCUUAACACAUGCAAGUCGAACGAACCUUCGGGUUAGUGGCGGACGGGUGAGUAACGCGUGAGAAUCUGCCCUCAGGAGGGGGAUAACAGUUGGAAACGACUGCUAAUACCCCAUAUGCCGAGAGGUGAAACGAAUUUUGCCUGGGGAUGAGCUCGCGUCUGAUUAGCUUGUUGGUGGGGUAAAAGCCUACCAAGGCUUCGAUCAGUAGCUGGUCUGAGAGGACGAUCAGCCACACUGGGACUGAGACACGGCCCAGACUCCUACGGGAGGCAGCAGUGGGGAAUUUUCCGCAAUGGGCGCAAGCCUGACGGAGCAACGCCGCGUGAGGGAUGAAGGCCUUUGGGCUGUAAACCUCUUUUCUCAAGGAAGAAGACCUGACGGUACUUGAGGAAUAAGCCACGGCUAAUUCCGUGCCAGCAGCCGCGGUAAUACGGGAGUGGCAAGCGUUAUCCGGAAUUAUUGGGCGUAAAGCGUCCGCAGGCGGCCGUUUAAGUCUGUUGUUAAAUCGUGGAGCUCAACUCCAUCACGGCAAUGGAAACUGUUCGGCUUGAGUAUGGUAGGGGCAGAGGGAAUUUCCGGUGUAGCGGUGAAAUGCGUAGAUAUCGGGAAGAACACCAGUGGCAAAAGCGCUCUGCUGGGCCAUUACUGACGCUCAUGGACGAAAGCCAGGGGAGCGAAAGGGAUUAGAUACCCCUGUAGUCCUGGCCCGUAAACGAUGAACACUAGAUGUUGGGGGAAUCGACCCCUCCGGUGUCGUAGCUAACGCGUUAAGUGUUCCGCCUGGGGAGUACGCACGCAAGUGUGAAACUCAAGG